rnacentral:tRNA from 1 species
GCCCGUCUAGCUUAGUUGGUAGAGCGCAAGGCUCUUAACCUUGUGGUCGUGGGUCCGAGCCCCACGGUGGGCG